UGUUAGCUUUGUAAAGUGGGUUAACUAGUAUAAUUUCUCGUUUGUACUAUGUCUGGCAAAAGCUGCAGAAAACUCCUCGUAAACGAGAUUCGGAAAAGAAAACUAGCAAACAUAUAUUGCGUUUGUAGUCUUGAUACGGAGUUGGAUACUCUCUUUGGAUUACUGGAGUCAAAUAAUAACAUUUUAGUUAGCUCUUCAAAACCUUUUCCGUUUUACAGGCAUUUUAUGGAUGAGCAAAAUAGAUAAACUUUUCUACCUUCUGUCUACCACCUUUCUUGUCGCUGCUUGCACAGAUACCUCGCUUGCUCUCCUCAGCUUUAAAGGGAAUGAAAAAGAUAUUAUAAAAGUUCGUGAACAUAAUGAUAUUGUUUAUUCAAUAUCGUCAGCGCAGUACAGUUUAACGAGUAUUCUAUUUAUUUCAUCCUCUCGAACGGAAAGUUGCCUUUGGCAACUCGAGUAUAAAAGUGACUCUAUAAAAUCUUUACAUAUUA